rnacentral:tRNA from 1 species
CAGAAAAUAGUUUAUUUAAAAUAUUAAUUUUGGAGAUUAACGUUAAAGGGUUCCCUUUUUUUCUGA